AUGAAGCCCCCGCCCCUGCCGGCGCCCGCCAGAGCGCCGCUCCCGUGGAUCUCCCCACUCCAGUACCGCAGCCCCACCCGCGCGGCGCCCGCCUCCCCGCCCCCGCCGCCGCCGCCGCCCUCCUCUCCCCCGCCGCACCGCGUCGACCACCCGGACCUCGCGCGCCUCAUCNNNNNNNNNNNNUCCGGGCAGCGCGCGCUCGACCUCUUCAACGCCGCCGCGGAGCAGCGCGGCUUCUCGCACACCGCGUCCACCUUCUCCGCGCUCCUCAUCCGCCUCGCGCGCGCCCGCCUCCCGUCCGCCGCCACCGCCGUCCUCCGCCGCGCCGCCUCCGCGCCCUGCCGCUUCCUCGAGCCGCACCUCCUGCCGCUCCUCCGCCUCCUCCCGCCCGACCACGCCCUCGCGCUCCUCCGCCUCCUGCCGUCGCUCCUCCACCGCCGCCGCGUCUCGCACAAGGCCCUCGCCGUCUGCCUCGACCGCCUCGUCUCCUCCCGCUGCCCCGACGUCCUCGCCGACCUCAUAGCCGACCUGCGCGACCCCCGGAACAAGUACCUCCCCGCUCCAAACACCUGCGUCUACAACAUCCUCAUCAAGCACUACAUCAAGAACGGCGACUCCGAGACCGCCUUCAGGGUGCUCGAUGAAAUGCGUGAGUACACCUGCGGCGAUGUGAGGCCAAACCUGGUCACCUAUUCGACCUUGCUAGGUGGGCUCUGUCGUGCUGGUAAGAUGAAGGAAGCGUUUGAACUGUUCGAGGGGAUGAUCGAGAAAGACCACAUCGUGCCGGACCAGCUGACAUACAAUGUGAUCAUCGACGGGUUCUGCCGGCUGGGGCAGGUGGAGAAGGCACAGACAAUCUUUGGUUUUAUGAGGAAGAAUGAGUGUGAGCCAAAUGCUUUCAACUAUGCAACUCUUAUCAAUGGACACUGCAAGAAAGGGGAAGUGGAGAAUGCAAAGCUGGUGUUUGAGGAGAUGAGGACUGCUGGGGUGGAACCAGACGCCGUCAGCUACACGGCAUUGAUCGGGUGCCUUUGCAGACAUGGGAGUGUCGAUGAGGGGAUCGAUCUUCUGAUGGAGAUGAGGGAGAAGGGAUGCAAGGCUGAUGUUGUCACAUACAAUCUGCUGCUUGAAGGGCUGUGCAAAGAUGGGCGGAUGGCGGAAGUAAUGGACUUGCUUGGGAGAUUGCCACAGGAAGGAGUUCAGUUGAACGUCGCAAGCUAUCGGAUUGUGAUGAAUACUCUAUGCUCAAGUGGAGAUAUGGAGAAGGCCGUUGGCUUGCUGGGAUUAAUGCUCAGAAGAGGGUUUUUGCCGCACUAUGCAGCCUCAAACAAAUUGUUGAUUGGUCUGUGCGAUGUUGGGCAAGUGGCAGAUGCGACAGCCGCAUUGUAUGGAUUGGCCAAAUUUGGGUUCAUGCCAGAGGCUAGUUGUUGGGCAAAGCUUAUUGAGGCUGUGUGCCGGGACAGAAAACUUAGGAGAUCUGUUGAGCUUCUGGAUAUCUUAAUUACAGGAGGGUGA
rnacentral:rRNA from 1 species